UACGGAAGGGGCAAGCGUUGUUCGGAAUCAUUGGGCGUAAAGGGCGCGUAGGUGGUCUUGUGUGUCUUCCGUGAAAGCCCACAGCUCAACUGUGGUGUGUCGGGAGAAACUGCAGGACUUGAGGCUGGGAGGGGCUGGUGGAAUUCCCUGUGUAGCGGUGAAAUGCGUAGAGAUGGGGGAGAACACUCGUGGCGAAGGCGGCCAGCUAGACCAGUUCUGACACUGAGGCGCGAUAGCGUGGGGAGCAAACAGG
rnacentral:rRNA from 1 species